UGUUGAUCAGUGGCUGUUCAGACCUUUCAGAGACACUGAACACACCAGCAGCACAAUGAUGAUGUCACUGACUCUACUGCUGACCACCCUGGGGCUCCUUGUUCAGGGUUCAUCAGGAGAAAUCAUCCUGACUCAGACUCCUGGAUCUCAGUCUGUUGUUCCAGGACAGACUGUCUCCAUCAAAUGUAAAACCAGUACAAGUGUUGGCAGCUGUCUUAACUGGCACCUUCAGAAACCAGGAGAAGCUCCUAAACUCCUGAUUUAUCAUUCUUCAAGUCGUCACUCUGGAAUUCCGAGUCGUUUUAGUGGAAGUGGAUCUGGUUCUGACUACACUCUGACCAUCAGUGGAGUUCAGGCUGAAGAUUCAGGAGUUUAUUACUGUCAGCAGCAUAACAACUUCCCGUUCACACAGUGA